GUCUUCGUGGAGUACGAAACUCGCUCCCUCUUCAUGUUCCUUCAAGUUGCUGUGCAGGGAGAGACGGUGGUUCGAAUCCCCCCGAAGACG